rnacentral:rRNA from 1 species
AACGAACGCUGGCGGCAUGCCUAACACAUGCAAGUCGAACGAGACCUUCGGGUCUAGUGGCGCACGGGUGCGUAACGCGUGGGAACCUGCCCUUAGGUUCGGAAUAACUCCCCGAAAGGGGUGCUAAUACCGGAUAAUGUCUUCGGACCAAAGAUUUAUCGCCUUUGGAUGGGCCCGCGUUGGAUUAGCUAGUUGGUAGGGUAAAAGCCUACCAAGGCGACGAUCCAUAGCUGGUCUGAGAGGAUGAUCAGCCACACUGGGACAGAGACACGGCCCAGACUCCUACGGGAAGCAGCAGUGGGGAAUAUUGGACAAUGGGCGAAAGCCUGAUCCAGCAAUGCCGCGUGAGUGAUGAAGGCCUUAGGGUUGUAAAGCUCUUUUACCCGGGAUGAUAAUGACAGUACCGGGAGAAUAAGCUCCGGCUAACUCCGUG